rnacentral:rRNA from 2 species
UACGGAGGGUGCAAGCGUUGUCCGGAUUUAUUGGGUUUAAAGGGUGCGUAGGCGGCCCGGUAAGUCAGUGGUGAAAGCCUCCAGCUCAACUGGAGAACUGCCAUUGAUACUGCCGGGCUUGAGUACAGACGAGGUUGGCGGAAUUGAUUGUGUAGCGGUGAAAUGCAUAGAUACAAUCAAGAACUCCGAUUGCGUAGGCAGCUAACUAGGCUGUAACUGACGCUGAGGCACGAAAGCGUGGGGAGCGAACAGG